UCCUACAGUUGACAGACAAUGGGUACCAUUAGUGUAUUAACUAUCCUUCUGCACUCUGCAUUCUGUCUUUUUUCAGGCAGUGUGUUUGGAGAUUCCGUUAAAGAGAAGGAUUCCCAGUUGUUUGCUGAAGAAGGAAUCAGUGUAGAUUUAGCUUGUUCUUACUCCACCUCUUUUUCAACUACUUACAAUCUUUAUUGGUACCGGCAGUAUACAUAUGGUGGUCCAGAAUACAUUCUAUUUAAAGCUAACCAAGGUUCCUUAAAAAAUACUGCCCCUUUUGCUGAGAAGAAAUUUCAAUCUGAAGUGAAAACAAACAGCACAACCCUGACGAUCACAAAUGUGAAGCCAGAGGAUUCUGCUACUUAUCGCUGUGCACUGCAGAGAGCACAAUGUAACAGUGACAAGGAGAACAGCUACACAAACCCUACAGGAUAAAGAAAGCAGCACAGCAUUUGGGUGAACUAUGCAUUAAAACAUGAACAGCUAUUUACUUUAGACUGCAAUUACAAAAGCUGUAUAAUUAUAUAAUUGCAGUCAAUCUACUUUUACUUAAAGGAGAACUAAAUCCUAAAAAUGAA